NNNNNNNNNNNNNNNNNNNNNNNNNNNNNNNNNNNNNNNNNNNNNNNNNNNNCUGCACGCCCCCCCCGCGCGCCGCGCUGCCCACCCAGCACGUGUGCACAUGCCAGGCACGUGCAUGCCCCACGCGUGCGCAGCGCUGCACGCCUAGUACGUGUGCACAUCCUAGGCACGUGCACGCCCCACACGUGUGCACAGCACUGCACACCUAGCAUGUAUGCACACCACAGGUACAUGCAUGCCCCACACGCAGUGCUGCACGCCUAGCACGUGUGCACACCACAGGUACAUGCACACCCCGCAUGUGUGCACGGCACUGCAUGCCAGCACACGUGCGCAUCCCAGGCACAUGCACGCCCCAUGUGUGUGCACAGCGCUGCUCGCCCAGCACGUGUGCACCCUGGGUACAUGCACGCUCCACAUGUGUGCACAGCACUGCACGCCCAGCACACGUGCACAUCCCAGGCACAUGCACACCCCAUGUGUGUGCACAGUGCUGCACGCCCAGCACGUGUGCACAUCCCAGGCACAUGCACACCCCAUGCGUGUGCACAGUGCUGCACGCCCAGCACGUGUGCACAUCCCAGGCACAUGCACACCCCAUGCGUGUGCACAGUGCUGCACGCCCAGCACGUGUGCACAUCCCAGGCACAUGCACACCCCAUGCGUGUGCACAGUGCUGCACGCCCAGCACGUGUGCACAUCCCAGGCACAUGCACACCCCAUGCGUGUGCACAGUGCUGCACGCCCAGCACGUGUGCACAUCCCAGGCACAUGCACACCCCAUGCGUGUGCACAGUGCUGCACGCCCAGCACGUGUGCACAUCCCAGGCACAUGCACACCCCAUGCGUGUGCACAGUGCUGCACGCCCAGCACGUGUGCACAUCCCAGGCACAUGCACACCCCAUGCGUGUGCACAGUGCUGCACGCCCAGCACGUGUGCACAUCCCAGGCACAUGCACACCCCAUGCGUGUGCACAGUGCUGCACGCCCAGCACGUGUGCACAUCCCAGGCACAUGCACACCCCAUGCGUGUGCACAGUGCUACGCCCCACAUGCGUGUGCAGCGCUGCACGCCGGGCACAUGUGCACAUCCCAGGCACACGCACACCCCGCCUGCACACCCAGCGCCCGUGCUCCCCACGUGCAUGUGCAGCUCUGC
rnacentral:lncRNA from 1 species